CCUACGGGAGGCAGCAGUGAGGAAUAUUGGUCAAUGGGCGCAAGCCUGAACCAGCCAAGUCGCGUGAGGGAAGACGGUCCUAUGGAUUGUAAACCUCUUUUGUCGGGGAGCAAAAGACGCCACGCGUGGCGUUCCGAGAGUACCCGAAGAAAAAGAAUCGGCUAACUCCGUGCCAGCAGCCGCGGUAAUACGGAGGAUCGGAGCGGUAUCCGGAUUUAUUGGGUUUAAAGGGUGGUCAGGCGGAAGAUCAAGUCAGCGGUAAAAUUGAGAGGAUCAACCUGUUCGAGCCGUUGAAACUGGUUUUCUUGAGGGAGUGAGAAGCAUGCGGAAUGCGGGGUGUAGCGGUGAAAUGCAUAGAUAUCACGAAGAACCCCGAUUGUGAAGGCAGCAUACCGGCGCUCAACUGACGCUGAUGCACGAAAGUGUGGGUAUCGAACAGGAUUAGAUACCCUUGUAGUC
rnacentral:rRNA from 1 species